rnacentral:piRNA from 1 species
UGGGAGGCAACUAGAAUAUGAUGAUGGA